UGCAAGUCGAGGGGUAACAUAGAGAAGCUUGCUUUUUUGAUGACGACCGGCGCACGGGUGCGUAACGCGUAUAGAACUUACCUUUUACAGGGGGAUAGCCUUUAGAAAUGAAGAUUAAUAUCCCAUAGUAUUGAGAACUGGCAUCGGUUUUUAAUUAAAGAUUUAUCGGUAAAAGAUGGCUAUGCGUCCUAUUAGCUAGAUGGUAAGGUAAUGGCUUACCAUGGCGACGAUAGGUAGGGGCCCUGAGAGGGGGAUCCCCCACACUGGUACUGAGACACGGGCCAGACUCCUACGGGAGGCAGCAGUGAGGAAUAUUGGACAAUGGACGCAAGUCUGAUCCAGCCAUGCCGCGUGCAGGAAGAAUGCCCUA
rnacentral:rRNA from 1 species